rnacentral:lncRNA from 1 species
CAGAGGAAUGGUUAGUUGACAGAGCCAGUAUAAAGUGGUAGUCCUGAGGGGUCUCAUAAGAGAAUCAUUAAUAGAGUUAUGCAAGAGUGAGAGUUAGUUCGGGUCUGCAAGAUCAGUUGAGUUGCCAGUUUCCAUAGGUAUAUGAGAUGCUCUAGUCCAUAGUCGAGAUAGUCAAGCUAGUCCAGUAGUGGGCGAGAAGGUAGUU